rnacentral:rRNA from 1 species
GACGAACGCUGGCGGCGUGCUUAACACAUGCAAGUCGAACGGAAAGGCCCUGCUUUUGUGGGGCGCUCGAGUGGGGAACGGGUGAGUAAAACGUGAGUAACACGCCCUUGACUUUGGGAUAACUUCAGGAAACUGGGGCUAAUACCGGGUAGGAGAUCCUGCUGCAUGGUGGGGGUUGGAAAGUUUCGGCGGUUGGGGAUGGACUCGCGGCUUAUCGGCCUGUUGGGGGGGUAGUGGCUUACCAAGGCUUUGACGGGUAGCCGGCCUGAGCGGGCGGCCGGCCACAUGAGGCCUGAGGUACGGCCCAGUCUCCUACGUUAGGCAGCGGGGGAGAACAUUGCGCAAUGGGCCGAAGCCUGAUGUAGCAACGCCCCGUGCGGGAUGACGGCCUUCGAGUUGUAAACCACUUUCGCCUGAAACGAAGCGUGAGUGACGGUAAUGGGUAAGGAAGCACCGGCUAACUACGUG